rnacentral:rRNA from 1 species
AGUGGAUGGGGAGCAACCUAGUUGUGCGUGUGUAAAGGUAGUGCCAAGAAAAGCGAUGAUCAUGUUGAAAAUCAAUUCCCGGUACCCGAAACCGACACAGGUGGGCAAGUAGAGAAUACUAAGGGGCGCGAGGUAACUCUCUCCAAGGAACUCGGCAAAAUGACCCCGUAACUUAGGGAGAAGGGGUGCCACCGAGAGGUGGUCGCAGUGAAGAGGCCCAGGCGACUGUUUAGCAAAAACAUAGGUCUCUGCAAACUCGAAAGAGGAGGUAUAGGGGCUGACGCCUGCCCAGUGCCGGAAGGUUAAAGAAGUUGGUCAGUUUUAGGAUGAAGCUAGCGACUGAAGCCCCGGUGAACGGCGGCCGUAACUAUAACGGUCCUAAGGUAGCGAAAUUCCUUGUCGGGUAAGUUCCGACCCGCACGAAAGGCGUAACGAUCUGGGCGCUGUCUCGGAGAGAGGCUCGGCGAAAUAGGAUUGUCUGUGAAGAUACGGACUACCUGCAUUUGGACAGAAAGACCCUAUGAAGCUUUACUAUAGCUUGGAAUUGUGUUCGGGCUUCCUGUGCGCAGGAUAGGUGGGAGGCGUAGAAGGUAUUCCUGUGGGGAUACUGGAGCCAACGGUGAGAUACCACUCUCAGGAGGCUAGAAUUCUAACUUAAUUAAGGACAGUUUCAGGUGGGUAGUUUGACUGGGGCGGUCGCCUCCAAAAAGGUAACGGAGGCGUACAAAGGUUCCCUCAGACUGGUUGGAAAUCAGUCGAAGAGUGCAAAGGCAGAAGGGAGCUUGACUGCGAGAAGUACAGUUCGAGCAGGGUGGAAACACGGUCUUAGUGAUCCGACGGUGCUGUGUGGAAGGGCCGUCGCUCAACGGAUAAAAGUUACUCUAGGAUAACAGGCUGAUCUCCCCCAAGAGUUCACAUCGACGGGGAGGUUUGGCACCUCGAUGUCGGCUCAUCGCAACCUGGGGCGGAAGUACGUCCCAAGGGUUGGGCUGUUCGCCCAUUAAAGCGGUACGUGAGCUGGGUUCAGAACGUCGUGAGACAGUUCGGUCCAUAUCCGAUGUAGGCGUGAGAAUAUUGAGAGGAGCCUUCCUUAGUACGAGAGGACCGGGAAGGACGCACCGCUGGUGUACCUGUUAUGAUGCCAAUUGUAAACGCAGGGUAGCCAAGUGCGGAGAGGAUAACCGCUGAAAGCAUCUAAGUGGGAAGCCCACCUCAAGAUGAGUAUUCUGGUGUAAGGUCACGGGAAGACGACCCGUAAAUAGGCACGAGGUGGAAGUGCAGAGAUGUAUGAAGCCGAAGUGUACUAAUAGACCGUCGGCUUGACC